rnacentral:rRNA from 1 species
AACAAGGUUUCCGUAGGUGAACCUGCGGAAGGAUCAUUGUCGAAUCCUGCAUAGCAGUACCACUCGCGAACAAGUUUACAAACGUAGGACCUAAUCAAAUGCCCGGGGAAUUCCCUACAUUUGAUUUUGUGCCUAGCGGUGCUCUAGCAAUUCGCUAAAGUGCCUAACAAACCCCCGGCGCGAGAAGCGCCAAGGCAUACUCUAACAAGGGCUUUAUCCGUCCUCUCCCGUUCGCGGGGUAAAGAGGACCGGAGACGGCUUCUUCUAAUCUGAAACGACUCUCGGCAACGGAUAUCUCGGCUCUCGCAUCGAUGAAGAACGUAGCGAAAUGCGAUACUUGGUGUGAAUUGCAGAAUCCCGUGAACCAUCGAGUCUUUGAACGCAAGUUGCGCCUGAAGCCAUUAGGCUAAGGGCACGUCUGCCUGGGCGUCACACAUCGCGUCACCCCUUCCAUUUUAUUGGAUGUGGUGGAAUAUGACCUCCAGUGCCUUUUGGUGUUGUUGGUCGAAAGUUGAGUCCGGAGCUUAGGAUGUCACGGCAAGUGGUGGUUGGAUAACAACUCUCGUCCUGUCGUGUGCCCGAACCUCUUGUGAUUGAAAUAGCCCUAAGGCACAUUACCCUCCUCUUGGAGUUGGGCGUUGUGUCAUGACUGCGACCCCAGGUCAGGCGGGAUUACCCGCUGAAUUUAAGCAUAUCA